ACCCGCUGAACUUAAGCAUAUCAGUAAGCGGAGGAAAAGAAACUAACAAGGAUUACCUCAGUAGCGGCGAGUGAAGAGGUAAAAGCCCAAGAUGUAAAUCUGGUAUAAAGUACUAGAAUUGUAAUCUACAGGAAUUCUCAGAAGCACCAACCGGGUCAUAAGUGUCUUGGAAAAGACUACCAAAGAGGGUGAUAGUCCCGUCUUCGGACCUGGAAGGGCGUAUGAGGGUUUUCUAAGAGUCGGGUAGUUUGGGAAUGCUGCCCUAAUCAGGAGAUAAACUUCUUCUAAGGCUAAAUAUCUAUAGGAGACCGAUAGCAUACAAGUACUGCGAAGGAAAGAUGAAAAGAACUUUGAAAAGAGGGUUAAAAGAUUUGAAAUCGUUGAAAAGGAAGCGGUAGAAGAGAAAUUAACCAGCCGCAAAGCGGUCAAAAACAAAGGCGGUGGAGUAUCUAACAGAGCUUGCCGCUGGAGUUAAAAAGGCCAGUUUGCGGUCGGUGGACAAAAUGAGAUCGGGUUGGGAGAAUAAGGCGAGACGUGUAUUCGUCCGCUCGAAGUCUCAGCGCGGUCUGAGGGAUCUUAGGAUGAUUUUGUCAAAAUGGCUUUUACCGACCCGUCUUGAAACACGGACCAAGGAGUCUAUCCAUUAUGCGAGUGUGAGGGUGUAAAAACCUGAACGCGUACCGAAAGGGAGUAAAAGAUGUGAAGUGUAAUAGCUGCAACAUCGACCAACCCUGAUUCUCUGAUGAAGGGCAUGAGUAAGAGCAUAAUUGAUAGGACCCGAAAGAUGGUGAACUACACUUGAGUAGGGUGAAGCCAGGGGAAACUCUGGUGGAGGCUCGUAGCGGUACUGACGUGCAAAUCGUUCGUCAAACUUGCGUGUAGGGGCGAAAGACUAAUCGAACCUUCUAGUAGCUGGUUUCCUCUGAAAUUUCUCUCAGGAUAGCUGGAACAGUUUAUGCAGUUUUAUCAGGUAAAGCGAAUGAUUAGAGGAAUCGGGAUCCUGCGGGUCUUGACCUAUUCUCAAACUUUAAAUUGGUAAGAACUUCUGGUUAACUUAAUUGAACCAGGAGACGGAAUGCAUUGUUCUUAGUGGGCCAUUUUUGGUAAGCAGAACUGGCGAUGAGGGAUGAACCUAACGUUGAGAUAAGGUGCCUAAAUUCACGCUCAUCAGAUCCCAUAAAAGGUGUUAGUUAGUUUAGACAGAUGGACUGUGGCCAU
rnacentral:rRNA from 1 species